GAGUUGUGAUGAGUAAAAUCCUAUUCCAUUGCUGAAAUACAGUGUGGAACAUGAUGAACUGAGCUC
ensembl:snoRNA SNORD98 small nucleolar RNA, C/D box 98